rnacentral:rRNA from 1 species
AAUUGACGGGGGCCCGCACAAGCGGUGGAGCAUGUGGUUUAAUUCGAUGCAACGCGAAGAACCUUACCUGGUCUUGACAUCCACAGAACUUUCAGAGAUGAUUGGUGCCUUCGGGAACUGUGAGACAGGUGCUGCAUGGCUGUCGUCAGCUCGUGUUGUGAAAUGUUGGGUUAAGUCCCGCAACGAGCGCAACCCUUAUCCUUUGUUGCCAGCGGUUCGGCCGGGAACUCAAAGGAGACUGCCAGUGAUAAACUGGAGGAAGGUGGGGAUGACGUCAAGUCAUCAUGGCCCUUACGACCAGGGCUACACACGUGCUACAAUGGCAUAUACAAAGAGAAGCGACCUCGCGAGAGCAAGCGGACCUCAUAAAGUAUGUCGUAGUCCGGAUUGGAGUCUGCAACUCGACUCCAUGAAGUCGGAAUCGCUAGUAAUCGUAGAUCAGAA